rnacentral:rRNA from 1 species
AGAGUUUGAUCAUGGCUCAGGACGAACGCUGGCGGCGUGCUUAAUACAUGCAAGUCAAGGAGAACGUUUUCUUCGGAAAACUAUUAAACUGGCGAACGGGUGAGUAACACGUAGGCAACCUGCCUUGGAGAUGGGGAUAACCUCGGGAAACCGGGACUAAUACCGAAUAAUGCAGCGGCUUCUUUGGAAGAUGUUGUUAAAGCGGGCUUCGGCUCGCACUUCAAGAUGGGCCUGCGUCCGAUUAGCUUGUUGGUAAGGUAACGGCUUACCAAGGCGAUGAUCGGUAGCUGGUCUGAGAGGAUGAUCAGCCACACUGGGAUUGAGAUACGGCCCAGACUCCUACGGGAGGCAGCAGUAGGGAAUUUUGCGCAAUGGACGAAAGUCUGACGCAGCAACGCCGCGUGAUCGAUGAAGCUUCUAGGAGUGUAAAGAUCUGUCGUGAGGGAAGAAAAAUCUGGAUGUAAAUAAUGUUCAGACUUGACGGUACCUUACAAGAAAGCACCGGCUAACUUCGUGCCAGCAGCCGCGGUAAUACGAGGGGUGCUAGCGUUGUCCGGAAUAACUGGGCGUAAAGGGUCCGUAGGCGUUUUGCCAAGUUGAUCGUUAAAGCCACCGGCUCAACCGGUGAUCUGCGAUCAAAACUGGCAGAAUAGAAUAUGUGAGGGGAAUGUGGAAUUCCUGGUGUAGCGGUGACAUGCGUAGAUAUCAGGAGGAACACCAAUGGCGAAGGCAGCAUUCUGGCACAAUAUUGACGCUGAGGGACGAAAGCGUGGGGAGCGAACAGGAUUAGAUACCCUGGUAGUCCACGCCGUAAACGAUGAGUACUUGGUGGUGGAGGAUUCGACCCCUUCACUAUCGGAGCUAACGCGUUAAGUACUCCGCCUGGGGACUACGACCGCAAGGUUGAAACUCAAAGGAAUUGACGGGGACCCGCACAAGCGGUGGAACAUGUGGUUUAAUUCGAUGCAACGCGAAGAACCUUACCUGGACUUGACAUGUUAGUGAAAGGGUUGUGAAAGCAAAACCUUCUACGAGCUGGCUCAAGGACACUAUCACAGGUGAUGCNUGGCUGUCGUCAGCUCGUGGCGUGAGAUGUUGGGUUAAGUCCCGCAACGAGCGCAACCCCUGUCCUUAGUUGCCAGCACAUAAUGGUGGGGACUCUAAGGAGACUGCCUGGGAUAACCAGGAGGAAGGUGGGGAUGAUGUCAAGUCAGUAUGUCCCUUAUGUCCAGGGCUACACACAUGUUACAAUGGUCGGUACAAUGGGCUGCAAACCUGCGAAGGUAAGCUAAUCCCAAAAAACCGACCCCAGUUCAGAUUAGAGUCUGCAACUCGACUCUAUGAAGCAGGAAUCGCUAGUAAUCGCGGAUCAGCACGCCGCGGUGAAUACGUUCCCGGGUCUUGUGCACACCGCCCGUCAAGCCAUGGAAGUCGGCAGUACCCGAAGCCGGUGGCCCAACUCUUCGGAGAGGGAGCCGUCGAAGGUAAGGCUGGUAACUAGGGCUAAGUCGUAACAAGGUAGCCGUA